AGUGAACGCUGGCGGUAGGCCUAACACAUGCAAGUCGAACGGCAGCACAGUAAGAGCUUGCUCUUACGGGUGGCGAGUGGCGGACGGGUGAGGAAUACAUCGGAAUCUACUUUUUCGUGGGGGAUAACGCAGGGAAACUUACGCUAAUACCGCAUACGACCUACGGGUGAAAGCAGGGGAUCUUCGGACCUUGCGCGAUUGAAUGAGCCGAUGUCGGAUUAGCUAGUUGGCGGGGUAAAGGCCCACCAAGGCGACGAUCCGUAGCUGGUCUGAGAGGAUGAUCAGCCACACUGGGACUGAGACACGGUCCAGACUCCUACGGGAGGCAGCAGUGGGGAAUAUUGGACAAUGGGCGCAAGCCUGAUCCAGCCAUACCGCGUGGGUGAAGAAGGCCUUCGGGUUGUAAAGCCCUUUUGUUGGGAAAGAAAAGCAGCAGGUUAAUACCCCGCUGUUCUGACGGUACCCAAAGAAUAAGCACCGGCUAACUUCGUG
rnacentral:rRNA from 1 species